rnacentral:rRNA from 1 species
UACGUAGGGUGCAAGCGUUAAUCGGAAUUACUGGGCGUAAAGCGUGCGCAGGCGGUUUUGUAAGUCUGAUGUGAAAUUCCCGGGCUCAACCUGGGAAUUGCAUUGGAGACUGCAAGGCUAGAAUCUGGCAGAGGGGGGUAGAAUUCCACGUGUAGCAGUGAAAUGCGUAGAGAUGUGGAGGAACACCGAUGGCGAAGGCAGCCCCCUGGGUCAAGAUUGACGCUCAUGCACGAAAGCGUGGGGAGCAAACAGG